GGCUCCUUCAAGGACUGAAUUCACAACCCUGAGUUUAGCAGGCCAAUGAGCAAACCACUGAGCUAUCCCUCCCACAAGUCUAGUGGGGCAUCCAAGCAUGUCCCUGAUCAGACUAACUCCCAAAGCAUACUUGGUCUGCUUUCAUGGUGGAUAUGAGGCCAGGCAACUUCCUGGCAGUUUCUCCUCCCUCUAUGCAGACUCAGGCAGACAUCACUCUGUUGAUUAUACUCUGGUCACAUGUUCAAGCUUCUCUUUGCAACCAUCUAUUUUAAAAAUGAAAAUGUAGACCCUAAGCCAACACAGGAUUUUAGUAAUGAGUCUGUGCCUCUUGUGUCUGGCCCUUAAUCUGGCUCAGAGAAGGCAGGAGGUAGCAGCAGAGGCUGCAGUGCCCAACUGUCAGAGUAGGGAGGGGCUAAUGGAGGAGAUACGGGAGCUACGGAAAGCAGCUGGAGCUAUUUGUGAGGAAUAAGGGGAGAGGAAGCAGGAGCUGUUGAGAGGGGGCAGGAAUGAUGGGGAGUAGAAAACGUUGGGAACAGGAGAUAGGAAGUGAGCUAAGAGGGGACAUGAGCUAAGGGAAGAGUAGGAGUUGCUAUGUGGGAAAUGAUCUAAUGCGAGAACAGAAUAGGGGGGAAUAGGGCUAAUGUCAUUGUGCAGUUACCCCGCCAGGUUCACUCCAACAGCCCACUGACUCCAUCCUGCCAAUGAACUGUGAUCCCUUGGUUAUCCUUGGUUCUCCACAAAGCUGCUUCUGAGGUCCCCACAAGACCUCCCCCAUCUUCUGAGUGAUAUAAGAAAUAAAAUUUUGCCUCCCCAAACCUGCUCCUGCUGCUUUAGGGGUAACCUUGUAAGGGGAAUCUGGUGUCAGACCAACACUUUUCACAAGCACUAAAGGCACAAUUUUUAUUGAUGCUUGUGGCUGUAUGCAAGCUAUGUAUAUCUAUGCAAAUUAACUUAAGUAACAAUUUACAUAAAAACAGAGCUUCAUAAAAGUUGAGAGCUAUGCUUUUGUCAUGGCAGGGCCUCAAGGCCAGAGUUUGAUGGGUUUUUUUGUGGUGUAUCAUUCUCCUCCAACAGCUGUUAGAGCUAUUCUGCUUGCCCUUCAGAGGGCUUCUGGAUUUCCUUCCCCUAACCCAGUUGUCUGCUCUCUGCUUCUCACUGCAACACACACCUGAGACAGAGAGUGGAGUAACCAAAAGAAAGUCAGGGAGGAGAAGUGACAUCAGGCUGCCCCCUCAUGCUCGUCUCCAACUCAACCCACACUGUCAGGCUCCACCUUACCUCAUUAGUAGCAGAUUAUUAUUAAUAGUUAUUUGUAUUAGAGUGGAGCUGAAAGCUACUGUCAGGAUUGGGGCCUCAUUGCACUAAGUGCUGUAUGAACCUGUAAGAAGAAACAGUCCCUGCCCCAAAGAGCUUACAGUCUAGACAAAAGAGAGAUGUAGGGAGGGGAAAAUGGGAUGAAGCAUAAAAGCAAAAUGGUCAGAGUCAAUAUAAGCACGCACUAAUUAAUAGCUGCAAGGAAAAUUACUAACUGUGACGGAUAAGAAGUUGCAUAUUAUUAUUUGUUUCUGGUAGCAUCCACAUCAUCCUAGAUGCUGUAAAAGCGGAAAAGAAGGCAAGGCCCCUGCCUCCAAAGAGCCUAUUUCCCCCUUCCAAAUUAAAUUUGUUGUUUUUGUUUUGUUUUUUCCAUAGAGAAAGAAGAGCGAUCAUCUAAAGUAGGAUUAGGACUUGGCAUUUUCUUUGGGAUGUCCAUUAUUGUCAUCAUUAUUUCUUGCUGUAUAUGCAAAAAGUUACAAGUGAGGAGAAAAAAUGAAAGCACUCUCUCUUCAUAGCCAUUCAAGAAGAUCUCACAAAAAGAACUAAUAUGGCUGAAUCAUCAGAGAAAUUAAAAUGGAUUGAAAUUCAAAGAGAUCCACUUACUCACAGAAAAGGGGACUCUCAGUAGUGUAAGCUUCUUUUUAAAUGGAACAUUUUGGAGUGUUCCUGAAUCUAGUCAUAGUAAUAAGCAGAUAUUCAUUGGUGCUGGCUGCUACAAAUCUUUCUUCAUUGCCUGUUCCUUUUUGGUUGUGGAAAAAAGCUCGCCUUACUUUAAUAUAGUUAUCUAAGGGCCAGAUUCUGCCAUUUAGGCACAAAUCUGCACCAGCAUAUGAGGAACAGGGGGAGGCAUAAUCCCUCUCCCAGCUCUCCAGCAUGCAGAAGAAGCAUGCCGUGGCCCUUUUUCUUCCUGCCCCUGCCUACUUCCUUUAGAGGAUUUGUGGCCAUUAGGGUGCACAGCAGGAAUGAGUCAUGGAGGGGGGCAGUCUUUGUGCUUCUCUGAGUAUAGGGACUGGGGUCUUUCUGGGCCCUUAUGUGAAGCCCCUAAGGAGUGAGGGGAAAACUCAUUAUGCCUCCUGCUCCCACUGAUUCAUCCAUCCAAAAGCCUGUGACAAUCUAGCCCCUAAUUCUUUGUAUAUAGCUUGUUUUAUAAUAAAUGACCUAAGUAAAAGUGAGUCUCAGCACAGUGUAUUUCUAUUAAAUGCAAAAAUGAUGCUGAUGCACUGCUAAGAUUGAAAUGUUAUGCUCACUAAAAUCAGAAAAUGUAGAGUUAAGGGACCAGAGCCUCAGCUGGUGCAAACUGACAUAGCUUCCUUGGCUUCAUUGGAGCCAUAUUGAUUGACACCAGCUGAAGAUCUGGCCCCAGGUUUCCAGAGACACUUUUGCACAGUAGGGUUUUUUUAUCAUCUAAUCAUAACAUUUAUAUAUGCAAUGACUCAAAAUGUUGUUUUUGUUCAUAGAGUGUUAUAAAAGAAUGUGUAGUUUUAACAUGGAAGCCUACAAUCCUGUAUACACGUUUACAGUUUUACAAACAUAAUGUAAGAAAACAAUGCAGUUUAUUUCCUUGGUAUGAAGUUAUUUGUUUAAAUAGUGUUAUUUUAAUCAGGGUUGUAUGAUCCUAGACGGAAAAACCCUUUUGUAAUAUAUGGGCCUGUCUGCUUCUCCUCUUACACCUGUAUAAUCAAGAAUUUCUCCACCGGAGCUAAUGAAGAUACACUUGCGCAAAAACUAGUAUCAAUGCAUAACCAGGCCCCUAAAUGUGCAAGCUUUAAAUUGGAAACUCUUUAGAGUAGGAAUUGUGGUUUUCUUUUAUCUCAUUCAGUCCCUGUGCUUAAAAAUAACAAUAAUCAAUAAAAAGGUGACAGUUAAGUUUGGGAAUCUUGCAUUUCUUGAAUUUCAUAGUACAGUCUAAGGGCCUUGUUCCACUCCCCUACUCUGAGUGGGUAGCACUUAUUUACUUAUUGAUGUCAAUGGAAUGACUCAUGUGAGUAAGUACUAUGCAAUGUGAGUGCAGAAUCCAGCACUUAGUAGUCGCAAACUUUAGUCUCAGUAUACUAUGUAGAGUUGGCAUAUUAAUAAAGUGGCAUGGUGAGGCAGCAUGACCCAGUGGGUAUGAUACUAACUCAGCAUUUGGGAGAGCUGGAUUCAAUUCCCUGUUCUUCCACAGACUUCCUGUGUGGCCUAUAGUCAAGCUAAUUAGUCUUCUAGGCCUCAGUUCCCCAUAUAUAAAACAGGAAUAAUAGCAAUUCCUUAUCUCACAAGGAUGUUGUGAGAAUAAAUACAUUAAAGGUUGAGGUGCUCAGGUAACAGGUGCUUUUGCAAGUACCCUAUCCAGAAAAUCUAAUCAGAGGUUUUGGCCUGUUUCCAAAUCUGCUCAGGCAUGAUAUCUUCCUUCUUAAUAAUAAUAUGGACUUGAGUUAUAUCAGCCUUCAACCAGUAAUUGAUAUUCUAUGAAGAUGCAAAAUCUAAAGCAUAGAAGUUCCUUGCAUGAGAGGAAGGGAAGAUGAAACCUAGUUCAGCACCAUUGAGGGCAAAGGGAAUUUUACUGUUGACUUCAGUGGAUCAGGAUAAGACUGAUAACACAGAUGUAUAAUUGAAAAUGUUGGCCACUUUUUUUCCUAUGCGUUUAACAAAUGAGGGCUAAAAUCUUCCUUUUGUGUAAACAUGAUCUGAGUUAAGAAUGAGCUCAUUACAAGAAUUGUGUUUCACUCCAGUCUUACUAAGAAUUACAAUUAUAAUUACAUUUUCAUUUCCACAAAAAGAAUAAUAAACUCCGAAUUUUGGAAGAGCAA